rnacentral:rRNA from 1 species
UACGUAGGUGACAAGCGUUAUCCGGAAUUACUGGGCGUAAAGCGCACGCAGGCGGCGCGGUAAGUCUGAUGUGAAAUCUCCCGGCUUAACUGGGAGGGGUCAUUGGAAACUGCCGAGCUUGAGGCGAUGAGAGGGGUGUAGAAUUCCCGGUGUAGUGGUGGAAUGCGUAGAUAUCGGAGGAAUACCAGUGGCGAAAGCGGCACCCUGGCAUUAGCCUGACGCUCAUGUGCGAAGGCGUGGGGAGCGAACAGG